UAUCUACUCCCUCCGUUCCGAAUUACUUGUCACAUGUAUGGUGUAUCUAGAUGUAUUUUAGUUCUAGAUACAUCCAUUUCUACGACGAGUAAUUUGGAACAGAGGGAGUAACUU
rfam:Triticum urartu cultivar G1812 contig291447, whole genome shotgun sequence.